UACGAAGGGGGCUAGCGUUGUCCGGAAUUACUGGGCGUAAAGGGCGCGUAGGCGGUGUGUCAAGUCAGGCGUGAAAGCCCCGGGCUCAACCUGGGAACCGCGCUUGAGACUGGCACGCUCGAGUUCGGGAGAGGAUGGUGGAAUUCCCAGUGUAGAGGUGAAAUUCGUAGAUAUUGGGAAGAACACCGAUGGCGAAGGCAGCCAUCUGGACCGACACUGACGCUGAGGCGCGAAAGCGUGGGGAGCAAACAGG
rnacentral:rRNA from 1 species